rnacentral:rRNA from 1 species
ACGCUCGACACCUACGGGCAGCAGUGGGGAAUAUUGCACAAUGGGGGAAACCCUGAUGCAGCGACGCCGCGUGAAGGAAGAAGUAUCUCGGUAUGUAAACUUCUAUCAGCAGGGAAGAAAAUGACGGUACCUGACUAAGAAGCCCCGGCUAACUACGUGCUAGCAGCCGCGGUAAUCUGAGCGGGCUGGCAAGGC